AGAGUUUGAUCCUGGCUCAGAUUGAACGCUGGCGGCAUGCCUUACACAUGCAAGUCGAACGGCAGCGCGGGGCAACCUGGCGGCGAGUGGCGAACGGGUGAGUAAUAUAUCGGAACGUACCCUGGAGUGGGGGAUAACGUAGCGAAAGUUACGCUAAUACCGCAUACGAUCUAAGGAUGAAAGUGGGGGAUCGCAAGACCUCAUGCUCCUGGAGCGGCCGAUAUCUGAUUAGCUAGUUGGCGGGGUAAAAGCCCACCAAGGCAACGAUCAGUAGCUGGUCUGAGAGGACGACCAGCCACACUGGAACUGAGACACGGUCCAGACUCCUACGGGAGGCAGCAGUGGGGAAUUUUGGACAAUGGGCGCAAGCCUGAUCCAGCAAUGCCGCGUGAGUGAAGAAGGCCUU
rnacentral:rRNA from 1 species